rnacentral:rRNA from 1 species
GACGAACGCUGGCGGCGUGCUUAACACAUGCAAGUCGAACGAUGAAGCUGGAGCUUGCUCCGGUGGAUUAGUGGCGAACGGGUGAGUAACACGCGAGCAAUCUGCCCUUGACUCUGGGAUAACUGCGGGAAACUGUAGCUAAUACCGGAUACGAGGCUCGAAGGCAUCUUCGGGUCUGGAAAGAAUUUCGGUCAAGGAUGAGCUCGCGGCCUAUCAGCUUGUUGGUGAGGUAAUGGCUCACCAAGGCGACGACGGGUAGCCGGCCUGAGAGGGUGACUGGCCACACUGGGACUAAGACACGGCCCAGACUCCUACGGGAGGCAGCAGUGGGGAAUAUUGCACAAUGGGCGAAAGCCUGAUGCAGCAACGCCGCGUGAGGGAUGAAGGCCUUCGGGUUGUAAACCUCUUUUAGCAGGGAAGAAGCGAAAGUGACGGUACCUGCAGAAAAAGCACCGGCUAACUACGUGCCAGCCGCCGCGGUAA